rnacentral:rRNA from 1 species
GAUGAACGCUGGCGGCGUGCCUAAUACAUGCAAGUCGAGCGAACAGACGAGGAGCUUGCUCCUCUGACGUUAGCGGCGGACGGGUGAGUAACACGUGGAUAACCUACCUAUAAGACUGGGAUAACUUCGGGAAACCGGAGCUAAUACCGGAUAAUAUAUUGAACCGCAUGGUUCAAUAGUGAAAGACGGUUUUGCGGUCACUUAUAGAUGGAUCCGCGCCGCAUUAGCUAGUUGGUAAGGUAACGGCUUACCAAGGCAACGAUGCGUAGCCGACCUGAGAGGGUGAUCGGCCACACUGGAACUGAGACACGGUCCAGACUCCUACGGGAGGCAGCAGUAGGGAAUCUUCCGCAAUGGGCGAAAGCCUGACGGAGCAACGCCGCGUGAGUGAUGAAGGUCUUCGGAUCGUAAAACUCUGUUAUUAGGGAAGAACAAAUGUGUAAGUAACUAUGCACGUCUUGACGGUACCUAAUCAGAAAGCCACGGCUAACUACGUG